UGAUACCUGCUCUGUUCGCCCGUUUC
rnacentral:piRNA from 1 species